GGGCAUCUCGUGAUAGUUUAUAUAAUUUUUUUGAUUUUAGCGUCAGUAUAAAAAAUGUAAAAACUUAUGCUUCUAUUCAUCAUCAACACAAAUCAAGAAGUAUGUAAGAAAAUAUUAGUAUUUAGAAAGCAAAGAGAAGAGCGAAAAGAGAGUAUCAGGGAUCUUCUCUUCAAGAGGGGGAACGCUCAUUUUCUAAUCACGUCAAUGGUUCUCCUCCUUCGUCUUCAAUACUCGACGAUGAUAGUAAUUGAUCGUAAUUGUAAACAGAAUUCUCUUCGGGUGACAAUGAAACUACAAGAUUUGC
rnacentral:lncRNA from 1 species